rnacentral:sRNA from 1 species
UUGCAGCAGGGAUAGCAGUGAAAAUCCUUUUUGAGGAACGAAAAAAGAUUGCAACGCAUAGCCCGACCCGGU